UACGUACCGUACGAACGUUAUUCGGAAUUACUGGGCUUAAAGGGUUUGUAGGCGGCCUUGUAAGUCAGGUGUGAAAGCCCUCGGCUCAACCGAGGAAUAGCGCUUGAUACUGCAAGGCUUGAGGGAGACAGGGGUAAGCGGAACUGAUGGUGGAGCGGUGAAAUGCGUUGAUAUCAUCAGGAACACCGGUGGCGAAAGCGGCUUACUGGGUCUCUUCUGACGCUGAGGAACGAAAGCUAGGGUAGCGAACGGG
rnacentral:rRNA from 1 species